GCCAUCAUUGUUUUGACGAAACUCUCUCCUACAAAAAUGGAGUCAAACGUCAACAACACGAAGAAGGAGGACGUCUGCUUGGUUCCCACAUCUUUAGGUAGACAUGUAUCUGGUAGAACCACCAGCGGAACUCCCCAAUCCCAGAACAUUAGACCACCGCAACACGAUAUGUACUGUUGUCACUUUUUACUAUUGUUACACCAGCUCCAUAAUAUGGAAUAAUAUAUGCCGACCCCUUGCAUUGCAAUCAAAACGUACUUAGCUUUGCCAAGCCAAUGGAUAACCUAAGUAGAAUCGGUCAAUUCCAAUCAUGCCUAAGAACAUUGAUAGGAGAAGUGCUGUAUCAAAGCGAUAACCAUUUCUGUUUAUUUCUAAAUAAUUAUUUCUAAAUAAACUUAUGUCCUUUUCCAAGGAAGUUCUCUGGUGAAUGUGUUAUUUUUAGUUUCGGUGCAUCCAAUACCAUCCACAGCAAUGCACCAACUAUUAAUAUGUUUAAUUAUAGUCAUCGUAACAAAACACCGGUUAGGAGGAGGACUGGGUCGACUAAUAGCCGGUGAACGCCUUUUUUUUAUCUUUUUAUUUUGAUUUUAUGAAGUUUACUUCAAAAAUUUUCUAUUAAAUAAGCAUCAGGUGUGUGGGGUAUUUGUCCGUGGGGAGUUACCCACGUUAACAGCCGGGCUAUGAUUUGGGUGUACAUCAUCAUUCUACUAUGUUUUGGAAUAUCGUCUGCAGACGAAUGAUUCCACUUUGGAGGGGAAUGAAUUAACCGAUCGCUUUUCUACCUGGGAUGCGAUUCUUGAUUGAAGGUAGAUUUCGUAGUUUUAGUUUUUCUUCAUCUUGAUAUAUUUUUUAUAUAUAUAAUUUAUCUG